ACUGAAGUAUACGAUGUUUA
rnacentral:miRNA from 1 species